GCAGCUGUAGGCCUGCCAGUGCUGGAGAGCAGGGGCUGGACUGGUCGGACAGGCCAGGCCGGGCUGGGGAAGGCGCCUGGGGAGCAGCCUCCCCAGCCAGCCUCAGUCUGAGGGCCCAGGGUGGGAGGACCUCACACAAGUUUGCAUCGCUUUGAUUCCCAAAGAUUUUCAUCUCACUAGAGCCUUCGCCAAGAGCUGUGAUUCUCAAUGCUGCCACACACUGGAAUCCCCUGGAGAGCUUGAAAUCAGUCACCUAGGAGCGCAUGCCCAGCCUGCACCCCAGGGUGGGACCCGGGCAUCAGCAUUUGUAAAAGUCCCCCAGAGGAUUCCAAGGUGCCGCCAACGCCGAGAGCCACUGGUCUAAAGCAGCUUUCACCUAAUGAAAAACAGCUUUAUUGAGGUAUAAUUGAUAUACAAAAUCUGCACAUCUUUAAUGUAUAUGAGUGGCUGAGUUUGGACAUAUGCAUACACCCGUGAAACCAUCACCGCAAUCAGGUAAUAGACAUAUUCAUCGCUUCCAAACGUUUCUUUGUGCUUCUUUGUUUUUUGUUUUAGUUUUUUGUUUGUUUGUUUUUGCGGUGAGAACACAACAUGAGAUCCACUCUCUCAACAAAUUU
rnacentral:lncRNA from 1 species